rnacentral:rRNA from 1 species
ACGAUGAAGAGUUUGAUCCUGGCUCAGGAUGAACGCUAGCGGCAGGCUUAACACAUGCAAGUCGAGGGGUAGAAGUCUUCGGGCUUUGAGACCGGCGCACGGGUGCGUAACGCGUAUGCAAUCUGCCUUUCACAGAGGGAUAGCCCAGAGAAAUUUGGAUUAAUACCUCAUAGCAUAGCCAAGCCGCAUGGUUUGGCUAUUAAA